rnacentral:rRNA from 1 species
AGUCACUGACAUUAGAUACCCCUGUAGUCCUAGCCGUAAACGAUACUCGCUAGGUGUCGGCCACGGUGCGACCGUUGUCGGUGCCGUAGGGAAGCCGUGAAGCGAGCCACCUGGGAAGUACGGCCGCAAGGCUGAAACUUAAGGAAUUGGCGGGGAGCACCGCAACGGGAGGAGCGUGCGGUUCAAUUGGAUUCAACGCCGGACAACUCACCAGGAGCGACGGUUACAUGAAGGCCAGGCUGAUGACCUUGCCUGAUUUUCCG